GUACUGGAAAUUUUCAAACGUGUAUUUGUCAGAUCUUCUUUGACGCAUCUUAAAUAGCCUGGCACCACGGUUACUGAGAUGGGAUAAUUCUUCCAACAUGAUGUCUCUGGGGAUGCUGACCUUUUUGCCCAGGUCCAUGCCAUCAACAUCUGUAAAACAAUAUUCAUAUGAGUAAAAAUCUCAAGAGAUUCAUCUCAAAGACUCACCAGCUGCAAUCUCUUUCCCCUAUAAGAAUGGGAUUGAAUUUCCACCUCAUGUUAAGAGAACAACAAGUGAUUUAGCUAACUCAUUGUCACAUUUUAUACUCCUCCAAGCUAAAUGUUUUUGUUAAGAUAAAAGUCAAAUGGGAGUGACAGAAACCCCCCCAAAACAGAACUGUAAAAAGAUGGAAGAUGUUUCUCUCACAGACCCCAGACUCAGUCGGUAGAGGGAGAGAUGGCUGGACCUUAGAGGAGACGGCCAGACUUCAGAGUGACAGCUGGACUUCGAGGGAGAGGGACAGACUACAGAAGAGAUGACGUGACUUCAGGGGAAGACAACCUGCCCAUCCCGUUCGCUCUCUAGCUCCUCUCUCCAC